rnacentral:lncRNA from 1 species
ACCCGCCGCGGCGCGUGCCACCCGGAAAGUCCGCCACGCAUCCGCCGAGUCGCCGCCGCCUACCGCUCGCAGUCGCUUGCAGGAAUUGCGGUCCUUGUCUGCCUCUUCCAUGGCCCCCUAGCUCAUGCCAAUCCGGAGCUUCCUCUGCUCAUUUUGAAGUAGGAUUCAGAGGGGGAAAAAAGUUAUCACCAAAUCUUGCAACAGCAUUUGGAUAUUCUAUUUUCUUGAGAAAUGAUGCAGGUGCGGCAACAACUCAAGUUCUUGAAGCGGGGUUUUAAACAACAAAGCGUUCCUUUUCGAGAAGUAAAAACAACAAGACAAUCAUACAGCAGAACUGUAAUUGAAAAAAUUCUGCAGAAACAAAUAUGCCGGUACCAGCUCAUAGCCCACCUGCUCUUAUCCUCUGCUAGAUGAGCACUUUUAUAUCACCCAAAGGUUGCAGCUCGUGAAAGAAGCAGCAGCUCUGUCAGAGGAAUCCGCUACUCUUAUCUAUCUACGUCUGAACAUUAGCACUGGUAGAUGAUGUUGCUGCAUAAAUGCAUGGCUCCCCCACCCUCUUUCCCAUCUAUAUUUAACAUAAUUAUAAGCAAGGAUAAUUUACUUAGCCAUUCUUCCAUAUCCAAACCUCCCAAUUAUGUAUGUGCACUCAAAUCUGGCAAGGGCGUGGGGAUAAUCGUAAUAAGCAGAGAAAAUCCGUAAAACCCGCGGAAAAUAACGGGGAAAACCCUAGCUUUAUCUUGAGCAUUACGAAUCCCAAAAGCAAAAAAACAUCCCCGAAUCUCAACCGAGCACACUAGCUCUCGCCACCACCAUUACUCAUCUACUACUAUCUAUAGUAUAUCAACCAGAGGGGAGAAACCUUUGGAACAAGGACCGUAUACAGCGCUGAGAUUCCCCGGGGAAUGGGGAUACAAACAAAAGCAGAACCGUAUCCAAGAGAGGAUGAGGAUGAGGAUGAGCAUGGACACGGACAUGGACUCCCCAAAGAACCCAAUCUCGCGGAGAAAAAUGCGUGCGCCGAGCGAGCCCAGCCCAGCUCCGGCCCGCACAGGCCGACGUUGGGGAGGGGGAGGCGGAGGGUGCUUGCUCACCUGAGGGGGGAGGAGGAGGGGGACGGACGGCGGCGGCGGCGGCGGCGGGGGACCGGAGCGCGGCGGGUGCGAAACGGCAGGGGGCGACGCGUAAAUGAGAAGGUGGGGGGAGUGAGGGAGUGGAGCUG